AAGGUUAUACACCAACCAGGCACCCGCACCUCCCACGUGGGCGGAGCCAGGCUGGGUGGGCGGGGCCGCGGAGUCGGGUGCAGUUGGGGCCGGCGGCCACAGGUGCAGCACGGAGGCCGGACGCUCUGCCGGUUUCGGAGCUCGAGCUGGCCGCCCCCUCGGUGGAGCGUAGGAGGAGGUGUUGGCGGCAGGCCCAAGGGACCACCCUUACUCCAGCCCCACUCCUCAGCCCCUUUGGAGGAUUUGCCCCUGGAGUUGAGAAGGUGCUUGGCUGGGAGCCUGGGCGGCUGCGCCCUGGGUGAAUUUGACCCCGCACGGCAGCCCUGUCCUCGGCGUAGCCCCUGGAGCCGGCAGGAUGCGGGUAGAAGGCUGGAGCACGCACACCAGGUCACCCUCAGACGUCCUUUGUGAAGAUGGAGGGACGGGGUUAUUUUUUGCAGGAGGACUCACUUGGAGGUCCAGCUCGAGCUCCCUGGGACUCCUUCCAGGAUAGCGGCAGCCCUCAGUGACCACUCCCUCACCCCAGCAACUCCAGCACUUAAGACUGAGCCUCCUCUCACACCUCCGGAGUCUCUCGGAAGUUUUCAUCUGUGACUCAUCUCUAAAGUCAUCUGACCGCUCUUGGCAUCUGACUAUAAGCCCCUGGAUAGCAGGGAUUAUGUGUCACUGGCCUCUUUGUAGCACACACAGCAUGUGCUCAAAAAAAAAUUGUUGUAUAUGACAAUAAGGUUGCCCCCAAAUGUCAUCUCUGAAACUCUUUGCCACGGUGGGAGACAGCAGUGGCCGGCCAUCAUAAGAGGCUCGUCUUUUUGGCUUUGGUGGGCGUGGCUUUUUGGCUUUGGUGGGCGUGGCAUGGUUUUAGAGGCCCGGCAAGAUGCACUCUUUAGUUUGUUUUGCUUCAGUUAAGUUAGCUCGCUCACAUUCCCUAAGCACGUAGAUACUGGGCGGGCUGAGUGGAGGUGACAGGGAGCAUCCAGGCCGUGAGGGAGGGAGAGCUGCCUUCGCCUCCAGAACAUCCUCUCCAUCACACACAGAGCCCCGCUGGCGAGGGCAAGGAGCUGGCUGCGAGUGGAAACCAGGCCCGGGGAGGGUUUCCAUCAGUGACUGCGGCUGGCGGCUGAAGAUUCCUGUGGUCACCAGGAUAAUUAUGCUAACAUCACUGUGCUGUUUGUGAAAGACGACCUGGUUUUCAGAAAUGCCCACUGUCUGCUGUGUAUUUACAUCAGGAGGGGGUGGAGGUAGAGGAGGUAACUGCUCUUUCCUUAGUCCGUAAAGAACUCCAAACUGGGAGCAAGUAUGAGAUUCAAACAGGGGUCAUCCAGAAAACCUCCUGCCGUGCCCAUCAGAGAUCCCCCGUCUCAGCCUGGAGUGGACACACACUUUGCCUGACUCAGAAGACCUGCCCGAGUCUAGUCUGGGGCCAGCUCUACCAACAGGCAGAUGUGUAGCUCAGGCUGCUGUGCUCAACCUCCCUGACCCCAGGCUUCACCUCUAAUAUAAAGUAGAAAUCGUGCCUGCCCUGCCUACCUCACAGGGUUUUGAGAACUGUAGAUGUUAGAAUUUCAGGGAUUAGAAAUUAUCGACCCCAUUCUCACUAUCCAUGAGACCACGAGAGGUUAAAUAACACGUCCAAGGUCACGCAUCUAGCCACGCAUCUAGUGGCAGAGCUAGAUCUCAGGUCUUGUGGCUCCUCUAUUCGUUGUUGAUACUAUUAUUGCACGUAUCAUGCUUUGUUUGUUUACCUGUCCACCAUCCACGCAGAAGUGUAAGCCCCUAGAGGGCAGGGAUCCACUCUCACGCCCCUUUUUUCUCUAGCGCCUGGUACAUACUAAAGGUGCUCAAUAAACGUGUGUUGACCUAAACUGA